rnacentral:tRNA from 1 species
GCGAUCGUUGUCUAGUGGUUAUGAUUCGUCCUUGCCAAGGAUGAGGCCCGGGUUCAAUUCCCGGCGGUCGCA